AGUAAAUAGAUACCCUGGUAGUCCUAGCCGUAAACGAUACUCGCUAGGUGUCGGCCACGGUGCGACCGUUGUCGGUGCCGUAGGGAAAGCCGUGAAGCGAGCCACCUGGGAAGUACGGCCGCAAGGCUGAAACUUAAAGGAAUUGGCGGGGGAGCACCACAACGGGUGGAGCUUGCGGUUUAAUUGGAUUCAACGCCGGAAAUCUUACCGGGACCGACAGCAAUAUGAAGGCCAGGCUGAAAACUUUGCCGGAUUAGCUGAGAGGUGGUGCAUGGCCGUCGUCAGUUCGUACUGUGAAAGCAUCCUGUUAAGUCAGGCAACGAGCGAGACCCACGCCCACAGUUGCCAGCGUACUCUCCGGAGUGACGGGUACACUGUGGGGACCGCCGCUGCUAAAGCGGAGGAAGGAAUGGGCAACGGUAGGUCAGUAUGCCCCGAAUAUCCCGGGCUACACGCGAGCUACAAUGGUUGGUACAAUGGGUAUCUACCCCGAAAGGGGAUGGAAAUCUCCUAAAGCCAAUCUUAGUUCGGAUUGAGGGGCUGCAACUCGCCCUC
rnacentral:rRNA from 1 species